CCUGGGGGCUUAGAUGGUAAAGCAUGUGCCUGCAGUGCAGAAGACCUAGGUUCAAUCCCUGGGUCAGGA
rnacentral:tRNA from 1 species